GGACUACUGGGGUAUCUAAUCCCGUUUGCUCCCCUAGCUUUCGCGCCUCAGCGUCAGAAGAGAUCCAGCCAUACGCUUUCGCCACCGGCGUUCCUUCCGAUAUCAACGCAUUUCACCGCUCCACCGGAAGUUCCUAUGGCCCCUACCUCCCUCGAGACAAGCAGUAUCCAAGGCACUUUUCCGGUUGAGCCGAAAGAUUUCACCCCGGACUUGCUUGCCCGCCUACGCGCCCUUUAAGCCCAGUGAUUCCGAACAACGUUCGCACGGUUCGUCUUACCGCGGCGGCUGGCAC
rnacentral:rRNA from 3 species